UUCAACAACCGAAUUAAGGUUGUGAACUGACCAGCUUUCGCAAGGAUCGCCGUUAUGUUGGUUGGACCUGAAGGUGCUGGAGAUGGGGUUUGAGCAAAAGUGGUGGAGCUGUAGAGGAAGAACAUCAAGAAAGGAACGAAUGGGGAGAGAAGUUGCUUUCUCAUCGUUGUAGGAUAUUUCAAAUCUUGAGUGUGUUCAAACUUACUGUUUGCUAAUUGUGAUGAGGAAGAGUUUGAGCUGUAGGGAGAGGCGUGGGAUGUAUA
rnacentral:lncRNA from 1 species